UCCGGCUUAACGCCGGCGGUCUCCAUAGAGUGCCCAACUAAAUGAUGGCAACUAGGGAUAGGGGUUGCGCUCGUUAAGGGACUUAACCCGACAUCUCACGAUACGAGCUGACGACAGCCAUGCAGCACCUGAACCGUAGGCCCAUUGCUGGGAGGGUACAUCUCUGUACCUGUCCUACGUUGUCUAACCCAGGUAAGGUUCUUCGCGUUGCAUCGAAUUAAACCACAUGCUCCACCGCUUGUGCGGGCCCCCGUCAAUUCCUUUGAGUUUUAAUCUUGCGACCGUACUUCCCAGGCGGGGUACUUAAUGCGUUAGCUGCGGCACUGUAGGGGUCAAUUCCCACAACACCUAGUACCCAUCGUUUACAGCGUGGACUAC
rnacentral:misc_RNA from 1 species